rnacentral:rRNA from 1 species
AUACGUAGGGUGCGAGCGUUAUCCGGAUUCAUUGGGUUUAAAGGGUGCGCAGGCGGCCGUGCGAGUCAGCGGUGAAAGCCCGGGGCUCAACCCCGGAAGUGCCGUUGAUACUGCAUGGCUGGAAUGCGGUCGAGGCGGGCGGGAAGUGGGGGGUAGGGGGGAAAUGCGUCGAUAUGCCACAGAAAGCCGAUAGCGGAGGCAGCUCGCCAGGCCUGCAUUGACGCUCGGGCGCGAAAGCGUGGGGAUCGAACAGGAUUAGAUACCCUGGUAGUCCACGCCGUAAACGAUGGGCGCUCGUCGUCGGCGACAGACAGUCGGCGGCCAAGCGAAAGCGAUAAGCGCCCCACCUGGGGAGUACGGUCGCAAGGCUGAAACUCAAAUGAAUUGACGGGG